CAGCAGCCGCGGUAAUACCGGCGGCCCGAGUGGCGGCCACUAUUAUUGGGCCUAAAGCGUCCGUAGCCGGGCUGGUAAGUCCUCCGGGAAAUCUGGUCGCUUAACGAUCAGACUUCCGGAGGAUACUGCUGGCCUAGGGACCGGGAGAGGCCGAGGGUAUUCCCGGAGUAGGGGUGAAAUCCUAUAAUCCCGGGAGGACCACCUGUGGCGAAGGCGCUCGGCUGGAACGCGUCCGACGGUGAGGGACGAAGGCCAGGGGAGCAAACCGGAUUAGAUACCCGGGUAGUCCUGGCUGUAAACGAUGCGGACUUUGUGUCGGACAAGCUAUGAGCUUGUCCGGUGCCGGAGGGAAACCGUUAAGUCCGCCGCCUGGGGAGUACGGCCGCAAGGCUGAAACUUAAAGGAAUUGGCGGG
rnacentral:rRNA from 1 species